AUUGAACGCUGGCGGCAGGCCUAACACAUGCAAGUCGAGCGAGCGGCGGACGGGUGAGUAAUGUCUGGGAAACUGCCUGAUGGAGGGGGAUAACUACUGGAAACGGUAGCUAAUACCGCAUACCAUCAGAGGUGCCCAGAUGGGAUUAGCUAGUAGGUGGGGUACUGGCUCACGUCGGCGACGAUCCCUAGCUGGUCUGAGAGGAUGAACAGCCAAACGGGAACGGAGACACGGUCAAGAGGCCUAGGCGAGGGAGGAGUGGGGAAGAUGGCACAAUGGGUGCAAGCCUGAUGCAGGCAUGCCGCGUGUAGGAAGAAGGCCUUAGGGUUGUAAAGUACUUUCAGCGGGGAGGCGUUACCCGCAGAAGAAGCACCGGCUAACUCCGUGCCAGCAGCCGCGGUAAUUC
rnacentral:rRNA from 1 species